rnacentral:sRNA from 1 species
AAACAAAAUCAUUUGUUUGCAAUGAACUGCAAGGAUAUUUGAUUUUUAGUAAUGACAGUUAACAGCUAACAUUUGUAGCUUUUGCUACAAAACCCAUGUUCUUGUCUUUUAUAAAACUUUUAAUUUUUAAUACAAAGUACAUUAUUAUUAGUUUGAGACUCACAAUUUUUUGUGAGUAUUUGAUGCUUUAUUAAAAUGUGAAAAGAAAUAGGAAAUUUUUAUUUCUUAUGGUAAUCAAUUUUUACACACAAAAUCAUGGAUAUAAAAGUGACAUCGUCACCUAUGGAUUAUUACGUUCAUAUAAUUAUCAAGUGCUAUUUCAAAGGAAUUAACACAUUGAUAUUAUACCAGAGUGAUCAACAACCAAUUGUUUUCAUUUUUGUAAGAUUAGGAACGUAUAUGAACUACCGGUAAUUACUAAGAGGAAUCCUUUUACUACAUGACAUUGAAAAUUCUGCACAUCAAUUACAUGUAAUAGUAUUCUCAUAGCCAACAAAUCGAUAUCAGUCUGUACUUUUUUUCUGUGAAGAAUCAAUUCUCUGAUCAGGGAUUUUGAAAGUGAAAGAUGACAGGUACAGUGAGGUACAUGUAUGUGUACUUUUAAGCUGAGAUUAUCACUGUACACCCAUUGCUAGUCUAGCAUGUUAAUUUUCAUAAAUUAUAUGCACAAAUGGGAAAACGAAACUCUGAACAUUUUUGAGGAUAAAGUACAAGAGUCAAUUAGCCUAUGAGAGACAGGUCCUAGGUUUUAGAUGAUGAGAUCACAUAAAUGUAUAAUUGCGAUACUGUACAAUAAAGUGCUGAAGUAGAAUUUAAUCAUGUCCUUGUUGGGAAAAUUCUUUAAACAAUAAAUAAGUGAAAG